GACGAACGCUGGCGGCGUGCUUAACACAUGCAAGUCGAACGGAAAGGCCCUGCUUUUGUGGGGUGCUCGAGUGGCGAACGGGUGAGUAACACGUGAGUAACCUGCCCUUGACUUUGGGAUAACUUCAGGAAACUGGGGCUAAUACCGGAUAGGAGCUCCUGCUGCAUGGUGGGGGUUGGAAAGUUUCGGCGGUUGGGGAUGGACUCGCGGCUUAUCAGCUUGUUGGUGGGGUAGUGGCUUACCAAGGCUUUGACGGGUAGCCGGCCUGAGAGGGUGACCGGCCACAUUGGGACUGAGAUACGGCCCAGACUCCUACGGGAGGCAGCGGUGGGGAGUAUUGCACAAUGGGCGGAAGCCUGAUGCAGCAACGCCGCGUGCGGGAUGACGGCCUUCUGGUUGUAAACCGCUGUCGCCUGUGACGAAGCGUGAGUGACGGUAAUGGGUAAAGAAGCACCGGCUAACUACGUG
rnacentral:rRNA from 1 species